rnacentral:rRNA from 1 species
ACAUGCAAGUAGAACGCUGAAGAGAGGAGCUUGCUCUUCUUGGAUGAGUUGCGAACGGGUGAGUAAUACAUAGGUAACCUGCCUUCUAGCGGGGGAUAACUAUUGGAAACGAUAGCUAAUACCGCAUAACAAUGGAUGACACAUGUCAUUUAUUUGAAAGGGGCAAUUGCUCCACUACAAGAUGGACCUGCGUUGUAUUAGCUAGUAGGUGAGGUAACGGCUCACCUAGGCGACGAUACAUAGCCGACCUGAGAGGGUGACCGGCCACACUGGGACUGAGACACGGCCCAGACUCCUACGGGAGGCAGCAGUAGGGAAUCUUCGGCAAUGGGGGCAACCCUGACCGAGCAACGCCGCGUGAGUGAAGAAGGUUUUCGGAUCGUAAAGCUCUGUUGUAAGUCAAGAACGAGUGUGAGAGUGGAAAGUUCACACUGUGACGGUAGCUUACCAGAAAGGGACGGCUAACUACGUGCCAGCAGCCGCGGUAAUACGUAGGUCCCGAGCGUUGUCCGGAUUUAUUGGGCGUAAAGCGAGCGCAGGCGGUUUGAUAAGUCUGAAGUUAAAGGCUGUGGCUCAACCAUAGUUCGCUUUGGAAACUGUCAAACUUGAGUGCAGAAGGGGAGAGUGGAAUUCCAUGUGUAGCGGUGAAAUGCGUAGAUAUAUGGAGGAACACCGGUGGCGAAAGCGGCUCUCUGGUCUGUAACUGACGCUGAGGCUCGAAAGCGUGGGGAGCGAACAGGAUUAGAUACCCUGGUAGUCCACGCCGUAAACGAUGAGUGCUAGGUGUUGGAUCCUUUCCGGGAUUCAGUGCCGCAGCUAACGCAUUAAGCACUCCGCCUGGGGAGUACGACCGCAAGGUUGAAACUCAAAGGAAUUGAC